UGAUCCUGGCUCAGAACGAACGCUUGCUGCAUGCUUUAUACAUGCAAGUCGAACGAAGGCCCUAGCUUGCUAGGUGUCCUUAGUGGCGCACGGGUGAGUAACACGUGGGAACAUACCUCAUAGUACGGAAUAACUGCGGGAAACUGUAGCUAAUACCGUAUAUUCCAGAAAUGGGAAAGAUUUAUCGCUAUGAGAUUGGCCCGCGCAAGAUUAGCUUGUUGGUAAGGUAAUGGCUUACCAAGGCUCCGAUCUUUAGCUGGUUUGAGAGGAUGAUCAGCCACACUGGGACUGAGACACGGCCCAGACUCCUACGGGAGGCAGCAGUAGGGAAUAUUGGACAAUGGGGGAAACCCUGAUCCAGCAAUGCAGCGUGAGCGACGAAGGCCUUAGGGUUGUAAAACUCUUUCAUCGGUGAGGAUAAUGACAGUAGCCGAAGAAGAAGGACCGGCUAAUUCCGUGCCAGCAGCCGCGGUAAUACGGAAGGUCCUAGCGUUGUUCGGAAUUACUGGGCGUAAAGCGCAUGUAGGCGGAACAAAAAGUUAGAAGUGAAAUCCCUGGGCUCAACCUAGGAAUGGCUUUUAAAACUUUUGUUCUGGAAUUCAGGAGAGGAAAAUGGAAUUUCCAGUGUAGAGGUGAAAUUCGUAGAUAUUGGAAGGAACACCAGUGGCGAAGGCGAUUUUCUGGACUGAUAUUGACGCUGAGAUGCGAAGGCAUGGGUAGCAAACGGGAUUAGAUACCCCGGUAGU
rnacentral:rRNA from 1 species